rnacentral:rRNA from 1 species
AGUUAAGUGACUAAGCGCACAAGGUGGAUGCCUUGGCAAUCAGAGGCGAAGAAGGACGUGCUAAUCUGCGAAAAGCUUGGAUGAGUCGAUAAGAGGCGUUUAAUCCAAGAUGUCCGAAUGGGGAAACCCAGUAGGUGAAGAACCUACUAUCACCCAGUGAAUACAUAGCUGUGUGAGGCAAACCGGGAGAACUGAAACAUCUAAGUACCCCGAGGAAAAGAAAUCAACCGAGAUUUCGUUAGUAGCGGCGAGCGAACGCGAAAGAGCCAGUU